GUAUAUAAAGGUGCUUGUUCACCUGUCGGCAUAUUCAUUAGUCUUCCAAGAUGCGUUCAUUGUUGAUCAUUUUCUGCGUCGUCUUGAUCGCUGCCUUCUUCGUCGUCGAGACGGAGCAGACCCCGCAACUGACUGGCGGCGGUCGUCCGCCGAUGGUUGGUGGUAAUCGUUGUACUUUCGGCCCAGCCUUUUGGUGCGCAAGCCCACAGAACGCCCAGCUGUGCGGUCAAGGGGCUGUCGACCACUGCAAUCGCGUUGGAUUCAGCGGAUAAGUAGGAGCGUCCCAGCGAAUGAAUAACGACGCCUUUUCGCCCGUGUCCAAAAGGCUGAUGGCCUUCAGCUUUUCUCCCAUUUCGUUGAUGGUUGGCCGGUGACGACGCUGUUGUUGGUGAAAGGCGCUUCUUCAUGACUCUUUUCUACCUGUCAUUGUAUUCACACUCUUCAGACUCUGUAACCGGUGAAGGCCGAGACAUAAAUAAUUGGCUAUUCAAAUAAAGAAAAAAGAAAAAAAAAGCUCUUGGAGACCCUUUUCAUGUCGUGCGUGAUUUAUCGAAUCGCUCGGCUUAUAUAGAAAUAAACACACUUCACGCAUAUCCGUUUAUUUGUCACGUAAAGCUGAUGGAGGCAUACAAAAUACAAGUUUCAUCAUUCAGA